UAUACAUUGUUCCACAUUCUUUGACGAUUAUUGUAGACUUGUCAAAUGCUGAAGAACAGUGCAGGCUCAAACUGUACGUCCACCUGUUGCGCUUCUGAUUUGUGUAACCACGAAUGUCCAGCAACGACAACACCCGAGCCUACGGGCUGUCCACAAGUACAGUGUAUGUUGGACUGUGGGAAUCCACCCAAGUACGUAAAGGAUCCCAAGGGGUGUGACCUCUGUCAGUGCGACUUUGGGCGAUAGGGACCCCGGAAUCAAGGAUCCCAAGGGGUGUGACCUCUGUCAGUGCGACUUUAGGCGAUAGGGA